rnacentral:tRNA from 1 species
GAGGGUAUAGCUCAAAUGGUAGAGCACAUGCUCAGUAUACACGAUGUCCUGGUUUCAAUUCCCAGUACUUCCA